UUUGAUAAAGUGACCUCCACAGUUUCGCAGUAUGAAAGUCUCUCUCAAAUCUGUGUUCUUCCAUUAAAAUGAAAUUCCCUGCAGUAUCACUUCCUGAAUUAAACAGCGUGCAUUGUGUUUUCAGAACACCUCCACCUAAGAUUAUUACUUUGGAGAAAGGCUCUGAAGGAUUGGGGUUUAGUAUUGUAGGGGGUUAUGGAAGUCCCCAUGGAGACCUGCCAAUUUAUGUCAAGACUAUAUUUGCAAAGGGAGCAGCUGCAGACGACGGCCAGCUGAAGCGAGGUGAUCAGGUUUUAGCUGUUAAUGGCGAGACCCUGGAAGGUGUUACUCAUGAGCAAGCGGUGGCCAUUCUAAAACGCCAGAGAGGGACUGUGAUCUUAACUGUGCUGUCGUGAGCCCGGGGUCCCGAUCACGAGGUAGAUGAUGUUGUAGACUAGCCCUAGGAGGAUGACGUUCUGAACGAGGACGAAAAGCAGUCUCAGCUCAAGUCCACCUUCCUUGUUACCAUCCUUCCUCUCUCCUCAGGAGGGAUGGCUGAGGUUUCACGUAAAUUUCCCAAGUCAACAGCCUCCCCAAUAUUUCCCAGCUUCUGUCUCCUCUUGGUGAGGGUAAUUUCUGAAACUUGAAUGAGCCUUAUCUGUUUUGCAUUUAACAUCGAUGUUUAUCAACUAGCAGUCAUUGGUUCUGAUUAUAUUUGCUGAAACUGAAGUUAACCACCUCUGGUUCCUCAUGCCCUUCCCUCCUCAUCCCUACUCACAUGCAGGCUUAACGACAGCCUCAGUCUCGUGCAGCGAACAGAAACAAAUGUUAAGCAACUUGUCAUCUCGCUCAUGAUUUACUUAUGCUAAUUGUCUCCUCAAGUACACCAGAAACAUUAGCAGUGUAAUUAACUUACCAGUGACCCUUGUGAUGAAAUACCAGAUUCGCCUAUGGGAAAUUACUGUGCUUGCUUCUGUACGAAUUAUAGUCAAAUAAGGCUCAAAUUCGUUUCUCUGAAUAGAUCUUUAUACGUUAGUCAUUGGUGAUUAUGAUGAGUCAAUUUGCAGACUGUAAUCUAAAAAUUCUGAAAGGCUUCCUAAUUGUUUUCUUAGCUACAUAAAUGCAUACCACUGGGAAAUGCACCUUAUUCUCAACAGGAACAUGUUCUGAAUUCUGACAAUGCUAAAUUAUGUUCCAUUCCAAGAAGUUCACCUGGAGCGGAUGGCGUCUCAGUAGGCAAGCAUCAUUCCCACCCCUGGGUCUUCAGACAACGGGGUGGAAGCUCUGGAGAUCAGCAAGUUUUGCCUCAAGUCAGACGAGGUCUAGGUGGCCUUGGCCUUGUGCAGAGUAGAGUAACAAAUUUGAGCAUGCUUCCCCUUGGCUCCAUACCCAUCAGCCUAGCAGCACAGACUGCAGGAACGUAGAUGGAGUGACGUGCUAGCCACAAAGUGACUGAGCAGAUGAACUGAGCCUAGGAAUCAGCGCUGGAAACACUUAGAUAACGUUUCCUGGUCUCCAGGGAGCAUCCCAUUUGUUGAAGUUUUGCAUGCUAAGAAAGCAACUACAGCAGAAAAUACAAGAAUAAAGUUGGUUAGGGGCAUUCUUAUUCAAGUACUCGCAGGAAAAGGAGGGAGACGCUUAUCUGUGAAUGCUAUAGGCUCUUCUGUAAAAAACGUACCAUGAAGGAUGAGUACCAGGAUCAAUAAUAGAAGUAGUUUGGCAUUAUUUAACUAAAACACAAUGCUGCAAAUGGUGCACAGUAAUUAUCAAAAUGUAAUGGGCAGAAUAGAUUUUAAUUGAGAAUUAUCUUUGAGUAGAUGUAAUCAUGAAGUGCAUUAACUCUUGUUGGAAUAUUUUGUGGCUGUUCCAAAGUUUAGAGUGCCUAAAUUUUGUGUUGAAAACGUCUUUCAUGACUGGUAUUAAGUUUUCUGAAAUUACACAUGGCUUUUGGAAUUUCUAAUGUAUCCAAGAUAUGCGGUGUUGUUAGGAUCUUGUCUCUCAACACAUGAGAAGCUAUCAACCUCAGAACAUUCUAUAUUAAUUGUAUCUGCAAGAACACCUCAGGCAGCCAAGAAGAAAUGAAGCCUAAAUAAAACUUGAAAAUGCACCUUAAAAUACAUAUAUAUAUAAAAUACUUUUGAAAUGUGAUUCUGCUUGAUUUUGACGGAAUGGCCAUUAAAUACACAUUUUGAAAUAAUACAUUGUUGUUGUGUUUCUUUACACAUUAUCCUUUUAGGUCAUGCUACUAAAAGCCUAUUGAUAAGAAAUUGUGAUGCUUUAUAUUCCUUGCUGCCAUAAAUUGACAGAACUAGUGCUUCUCAUAACUGGUUGUGUCUCUGCUUGCAUGAAUAAUUGCCUUG